UACGAAGGGGGCUAGCGUUGUUCGGAAUCACUGGGCGUAAAGCGUAUGCAGGCGGAUCGUUAAGUCGGGGGUGAAAUCCCGAGGCUCAACCUCGGAACUGCCUUCGAUACUGACGAUCUCGAGUCCGGGAGAGGUGAGUGGAACUGCGAGUGUAGAGGUGAAAUUCGUAGAUAUUCGCAAGAACACCAGUGGCGAAGGCGGCUCACUGGCCCGGUACUGACGCUGAGAUACGAAAGCGUGGGGAGCAAACAGG
rnacentral:rRNA from 1 species